GUCCUUCGCGACAUCUGUUAAAAGUGGAACGAUACAGAGAAGCUUAGCAUGCACCCCUGCGCAAGGAUGAUGAUGACAUAAAUAGGCACACAUCGAGAUAUC
rfam:Coccomyxa subellipsoidea C-169, whole genome shotgun sequence.